rnacentral:lncRNA from 1 species
GUGCGUCCUGCACAAUGCUCGGUUCUAACUUACUACGCAUUAAGCUUUCCAGACCAAAGAGAAAAGAAGGUCCAUUGCCUCUUAUACCGACCCGGAAGACGAAAGGAUUGGUACGGAAGAUCGCACCUGGCGCCAAAAAACCAAUAAGCAUGGCAGACAGGCCGUACUUCAACACUCCCACGCAGCCGUGAUGCCAUGCACAGCGAAAGUAACGCAAAGCGAAAAAGACCUCACGACGGUAGUCACCUAAUAUUUCAAGUACAGAAAUAAACGAGAGCUCCCACGCGCCUCAAUAUACAACUCCUCUACUCAUACAAAGUAGUCCAUGCUACCCUACGAACGCGGAGGGGGGUUAAGAACGUUCUUAAGUCGUUCUUAGCCCAGCCAAAUUGAUAAAAUUGAAUAAUCAUUAGAACGUUCUUACACUGCUCUAAGAACGUUCUAAGAACGUUCGUAUGACCUCCGUUUAUCUUAAAACCGUUCUUUCAAAUUCUUAAGCAUUCUUCAGGGCCCAGCAGUCUUACGUAUUCUCUUCCAUUCUUUGGGGUGUUCUU